CCUGCCCCUAGAGACAUUACAAAUGUGGCUGCUGUGUCACAUGUGUGUCAGUAGGUGACAGAGAGGAAAGAGGCUAUGUGUAAGUUCAGUGUUCAGAGAACAUCUAAAUGAUGAGUAGUAGUAGCCUACCAUU